GAUGAACGCUGGCGGCGUGCCUAAUACAUGCAAGUCGAGCGAACAGACGAGGAGCUUGCCUCUCUGCCGCUAGCGGCGGACGGGUGAUUACCAGGUGGCUAACCGACCUUUGAGGCUGGGAUAAGUUCGGGAACCCGGAUACAACACAGGUUAUUAUAUUGAACGGGAGGGUUCAUCGGUGAAAGCGGGUUUUGAUGACCCUUGUAGAUAGUACCGCGUCGCAUUAGCUAGUUGGUAGGGUAACGGCUUACCAAGGCUACGAUGCGUAGCCGACCUGAGAGGGUGAUCAGCCACACUGGAACUGAGACACGGUCCAGACUCCUACGGGAGGCAGCAGUGGGGAAUCUUCCACAAUGGGCGAAAGCUUGACGGAGCAACGCCGCGUGUGUGAUGAAGGUCUUCGGAUCGUAAAACUCUGUUAGUAGGGAAGAACAACAGUAAGUGAAACUAUGCACGUCUUGACGUUACCUAAACAGAAAGCCACGGCUAACUACGUG
rnacentral:rRNA from 1 species